GUGGGGAAUAUUGGACAAUGGGCGAAAGCCUGAUCCAGCCAUGCCGCGUGUGUGAAGAAGGUCUUCGGAUUGUAAAGCACUUUAAGUUGGGAGGAAGGGUAGUAACCUAAUACGUUGCUACUUUGACGUUACCGACAGAAUAAGCACCGGCUAACUUCGUGCCAGCAGCCGCGGUAAUACGAAGGGUGCAAGCGUUAAUCGGAAUUACUGGGCGUAAAGCGCGCGUAGGUGGUUCAGUAAGUUGGACGUGAAAUCCCCGGGCUCAACCUGGGAACUGCUUUCAAAACUGCUGAGCUAGAGUACGGUAGAGGGUGGUGGAAUUUCCUGUGUAGCGGUGAAAUGCGUAGAUAUAGGAAGGAACACCAGUGGCGAAGGCGACCACCUGGACUGAUACUGACACUGAGGUGCGAAAGCGUGGGGAGCAAACAGGAUUAGAUACCCGAGUAGUCC
rnacentral:rRNA from 1 species